ACACAUCCUCGGCCAUACAGUAGGAAAAUCGCAGAGGAGCCAAGCAGAGGAAGAAGCCAGGAAAAUCAAUAAACAAGUUGGAGGAGAUGAAACCUACAGAGAUGGAGAAGAAAUAAACACGGAGAGGAAGAAAAAAAAAAGAGGCAACGUGGAAGUUCUUGGGUUAACAAGUUCCCUGAGCCUUCCUUUCCCGGAUUGUUCAUCUGGCCCCAGGGAUCCACAUGCUUCCCUCCCAGGAGACUCCGGGUCUCUGAGGCUGGAUCCUUCCCAUGAACAUACAGACAACCAACAGCACGGGGCUGGCAGGAAAGAUGAGCUUUCCAGUGAGAGUAUAAUAACUGACUGGAACAUAAAGAUAAGAGCUGAGGAAGCCUGCCACUAAUGGAAAGAGAGAAUUUCCACAGGAUCAGUAAGUUUUCCCCAUCCCCUCUGCUCUUGAAAUUGAUCAAAACACACCAGUGGCUAUUUAGGUUUUUUUUUCCUGAAUUUUAAAAUGCUAUCGACGUAUUGCUGAUUUACAACGUUAUGUUAAUUUCUCCUGCACAACAAAGUGAUGUGGUUAUGCAUGUACCCAUAUCCCUUCUUUUUCAGAUUCUUUUCCCGUACCGGUUAUCACAGAAUCUUGGGUAGGGUUUUCUGUGUUGUACAGCAGGUCCCCAUUGAUCAUCCAUGCCAUGUACAAUAGUGUGCCUAUGCCAAUCCCAAACCCCCAAUCCAUCCCUCUAUUUAGUUUGUUUUUUUUUUUUUUUCAAAUGCAGCAUGUUUGUGUACAUAAAACUGGAUAUACACUAAAGGAAUAAGGAAAGGAAAAAUAAAAGAAAACUGUAUUGUAGUCA
rnacentral:lncRNA from 1 species